CUGGCGGCGUGCCUAAUACAUGCAAGUCGAACGCACUCUCGUUUAGAUUGAAGGAGCUUGCUCCUGAUUGAUAAACAUUUGAGUGAGUGGCGGACGGGUGAGUAACACGUGGGUAACCUGCCCUAAAGUGGGGGAUAACAUUUGGAAACAGAUGCUAAUACCGCAUAAAACCUAACACCGCAUGGUGUAGGGUUGAAAGAUGGUUUCGGCUAUCACUUUAGGAUGGACCCCGCGGUGCAUUAGUUAGUUGGUGAGGUAAAGGCUCACCAAGACCGUGAUGCAUAGCCGACCUGAGAGGGUAAUCGGCCACACUGGGACUGAGACACGGCCCAGACUCCUACGGGAGGCAGCAGUAGGGAAUCUUCCACAAUGGACGAAAGUCUGAUGGAGCAACGCCGCGUGAGUGAAGAAGGUUUUCGGAUCGUAAAACUCUGUUGUUGGAGAAGAAUGUAUCUGAUAGUAACUGAUCAGGUAGUGACGGUAUCCAACCAGAAAGCCACGGCUAACUACGUG
rnacentral:rRNA from 1 species